CGGUGUGUAGUUCCGUAAAUGGAAGCGGGCCGCGUUUGGGGCGCGGAGCGAAAGCCUUGUCAGUUCGAGUCUGACCACACCGACCA
rnacentral:tRNA from 2 species